UGGGGAAUUGUUCGCAAUGGGCGCAAGCCUGACGACGCAACGCCGCGUGGAGGAUGAAGGUCUUCGGAUUGUAAACUCCUGUUGCCCGGGACGAAAUGUUCAGACCUAACACGUCUGAAUUUGACGGUACCGGGUGAGGAAGCCCCGGCUAACUCUGUGCCAGCAGCCGCGGUAAUACAGAGGGGGCAAGCGUUGUUCGGAAUUACUGGGCGUAAAGGGCGCGUAGGCGGCCUUCUAAGUCGAACGUGAAAUCCCUGGGCUCAACCCAGGAACUGCGUCCGAGACUGGGAGGCUAGAAUCCGGGAGAGGGAUGUGGAAUUCCAGGUGUAGCGGUGAAAUGCGUAGAUAUCUGGAGGAACAUCGGUGGCGAAGGCGGCAUCCUGGACCGGUAUUGACGCUGAGGCGCGAAAGCCAGGGGAGCAAA
rnacentral:rRNA from 1 species